rnacentral:rRNA from 1 species
CCUACGGGGGGCUGCAGUGGGGAAUAUUGGACAAUGGGGGCAACCCUGAUCCAGCCAUGCCGCGUGUGUGAAGAAGGCCCUCGGGUUGUAAAGCACUUUCAGUGAGGAAGAACGCCUGGUGGUUAAUACCCAUCAGGAAAGACAUCACUCACAGAAGAAGCACCGGCUAACUCCGUGCCAGCAGCCGCGGUAAUACGGAGGGUGCGAGCGUUAAUCGGAAUUACUGGGCGUAAAGCGCGUGUAGGUGGCUUGAUAAGCCGGUUGUGAAAGCCCCGGGCUCAACCUGGGAACGGCAUCCGGAACUGUCAAGCUAGAGUGCAGGAGAGGAAGGUAGAAUUCCCGGUGUAGCGGUGAAAUGCGUAGAGAUCGGGAGGAAUACCAGUGGCGAAGGCGGCCUUCUGGACUGACACUGACACUGAGGUGCGAAAGCGUGGGUAGCAAACAGGAUUAGAUACCCUGGUAGUC